rnacentral:rRNA from 1 species
UACGUAGGUGGCAAGCGUUGUCCGGAAUUAUUGGGCGUAAAGCGCGCGCAGGUGGUUUCUUAAGUCUGGUGUGAAAGCCCACGGCUCAACCGUGGAGGGUCAUUGGAAACUGGGGAACCUGAGUGCAGAAGAGGAAAGUGGAAUUCCAAGUGUAGCGGUGAAAUGCGUAGAGAUUUGGAGGAACACCAGUGGCGAAGGCGACUUUCUGGUCUGUAACUGACACUGAGGCGCGAAAGCGUGGGGAGCGAACAGG